GCUCAAAUCAGAUCCUUUUAAUUGAGUUAGACCUAAGGCUAGAAUCAAAGACUUAAUGGACUAAAAAGAGUAGUUGAUUUAAUCUAACCAAUAGUUGAUUCAGAUUAGAUCAAGAGUACUUCAGAUCAAAAAUAAUAGUUGUAAAUGAUCGAAUUCAUAUCUUUGAUUAAACCAAAUGGAUCUUGAUUGAGGCUCAAAGGUUGAGCUCGAGUCACUAGGCUGAUUAGAUUACUGGUGACUAGAGUUGACCCAUAUUGUUAAGGUUAAUCAGUAUGACUGAUUUAGAUGCCCUA
rnacentral:lncRNA from 1 species